rnacentral:rRNA from 1 species
UCAGAGGCGAUGAAGGACGUGCUAAUCUGCGAAAAGCGUCGGUAAGGUGAUAUGAACCGUUAUAACCGGCGAUGUCCGAAUGGGGAAACCCAGUGCUAUUCGUUGCACUAUCGUUAACUGAAUACAUAGGUUAACGAGGCGAACCGGGGGAACUGAAACAUCUAAGUACCCCGAGGAAAAGAAAUCAACCGAGAUUCCCC